ensembl:lncRNA
CUUUUUGAAAAAAAAUGUCUUAUCUCUGUUUAUGUCUCCUACUUCCACAUUGAAAACACAGAUCCAGGUUGAGAAAGAGAAUAUGAAGGAGGCUGAGACCAAGAAGAAACAGCUGGAGAACAAGAUCACAGAGGUUCAGCUUUUCAUAUAAAUCAAUUCUCUGUCUGUCAUUGCUCUUUUGAUCUUCUCCAUAAAGCAGAUGAUGAGAUCAAGGCAUAGUAACAGUGAGAGGAAAUCUGAGAAACUAAACAAUAGUUUUCUACAAUAAAUAAAUCUACUAACUGCCCUGUUUGAGAAUAAGUGACGAACAACAGUCUUCCUGAAUAUACAUACAUAUCUUGAAUGUGAGACACCAGCUGCUGAUCAGCAGAAGAUAAAAAAGAGAGAGUCAGAAAAUAAGCAGGACAGGGAGUGACCAGGGUUGUCUCUCCCUUAUUUAAACUAACCUAUAAACAUACAUAAGUAGGCUUAUAAAUAUAUCAAACAUAUGAUUCUACUGUUGGUGAAGAGAAACAUUUACAUUAUUACAAAAAUUUAAAAUAUCAAAUAAACUGUUAAAUGCUGAAAAUGUUAAAUUGUUUCAACUGUUUCAAAUUAUUUCAGUCAGGUUUGUUUUUUAAUGUAAAACAAACCUUCAACGUCUUAUCUAACAUGUUUAGUAAUUAAGGUCAUAUCAUUCAGCACAUUCCACUUAUGAUAUAUAAAGAGAAUUUUAAACAAAUUAUUUUAACAACCAAAUAUACCUUAUAAUAUUUAGACUAAAUGCUGUGUCUAUUUAAAAUGAUUGUUUCUUUUCAUCUCUCCUAUCUCCCAGUUUAACAGACAGCUCCAGAAUAAGAAGCUGAACAGAAAGGAUGCUGAGAGGAAAAUCACAAAGGUGAACGAGAAGCUCAGGGCUGAGGAGAAGAUGAUGAAGGAAGCUGAGACCAAAGUGGAGACAUUGAAGAAACAGGGGGAUACAAUUAAAACAGAGCUGGACCAGUUAUUCCAGGCUCAAGAAGACAACAAGAAGGCAGCUAAGACCUUGAAGACUUUGCUCAAGGAGGAAGGUUCAGUUUGCAAUAGUUUUGAGAGGAAACCUGAGACAACAUUUAAUCAAACAUAUUUUGAAUGGUCACAUUGCCAGUUCUAAGCAUCUACGGGAAAACUCUCUUUGAGUUUGGUGUUAGUUGUUUGGUGCUUUGUAACUACUUUAAAGCUUUGCUAAGCCUCAGACUUAGAUUUAUUUGUUAGAACUUUGUCCAUAUUUGUAACAUCAAUUUCUGAUUUGUGUAUAAGUGGCUAAAUCAUAGAUAGAGAUACACACACACACACACACACACACACACACACACACACACACACACACUUAUCCAUACACUCAGUCUUUAUGUGCACAUACACACGAUCUGCAGUGACACUGAGUCUAUUUUGAUUUCUAUACAUUACAUUAGGUCUGGGUAAUGCUGUUCUGGUUGUAUCUAUGUUUGGGUAGUUAGAAUAGGUUAGUUAGGUCAGAUUUAAUUUUGUUAUGUCAAUCAGUUAGUUAAUAACAGGUUGUUAAAUAGACCUGUUUGUUUUUUUAUAUUUCUAAUUUCUAAUUUUAGUAGCAUCAUGUACAUGUGUUCCUCCUUAUAUACUUCUUAUUUAUAUGGUUAAUGACUAUUUGAAUUAACUUUAACCCUUUGAGCUCUAAAGUCCCCCAACUGAGUGAAACAAUACACUAAUCACUAGAUGAGCUCUUAAAACUUUUAAUUAAUGCUGUGUGUCAUCUUUAUUUACUCUUCACCACUAACCCAUAGCUUUAUAUUUAAACUUCCUAACACAUCUUACUGUUUUGGUUUCAGAAAAGAAUAAAAAAAAGUAAAAGAUAUAUUUUGUUGUACAAGUUAAUGUUAUUUAACUUUUUAACAUCUUGGUUGUUUUUCUUAUGUCGCACCUUUAUUAAUGAGCCAGGGUUACAACACUUUGUUUAGAGGUGUUUUGUCUAGUGCUGAAAUCAUUUGUGUGUUGACCUCUAAACGUAUUAAACUACUGUUUAAAUAAUAUACAGUCUAUUUAAGUCUAGACUGUAGCACUGUCAGAAUUAAAUUUCCACUGUGUUGUCUGCAAAUCAUUGUUCUUUUUUUGUCUUUUUUCAGUCCAAACAUUUAAACUAACUAUAACUUUAUUACAACAUCAAAUAAAAAAAAAUAAAAAUAAAAAAACAUUUGUGAGACACAUUCACAAUAAAAAUUUAGGAGGACUGUUGCUGUCAGAUUCAGAUAUGUCAUAAACAUCUAACAAUAAUCUGUUUUGACCAUUUUACACCAUUUUCAUACAAACUAGAAAAAACAACACAUUUAGACAGUUUAUUACUAUUUCUGAAAUAAAUGAAUGUUUGACACUAAGUAAACAGAUAUAUAGGUGUAAUUUUUCAAUUUAUUUCUAAAUUUUGUUAGAUUGGCUAAAGCACUGGGCUGGAAUAGAAGGCACUGCACUGGACUGGUUCUCUUCAUACCUGUCCGAUAGAUUGUUUUGUGUUACUGUUAAUAACUACAAGUCGUCUUUUUCUCCUGUGAAGUAUGGAGUUCC